GUGCUCUCUUCGGCAGCACAUUAAAAUUGGAACCUUCCAGAGAGGGUUAGCAUGGCUUCUAAGCAAGGAUGACAUACAAAUUGAAGAACUGUUCUAAAGUUAG